rnacentral:rRNA from 1 species
GGCUACUGCUAUUGGGAUUCGACUAAGCCAUGCGAGUCAAGGUGUCUGCGGACGCCGGCGUACGGCUCAGUAACACGUAGGUAACCUACCCUCAGGACUGAGAUAACCCCGGGAAACUGGGGCUAAUAUUAGAUAGAUAAAAGAUACUGGAAUGUUCUUUUAUCCAAAGCUUUUGCGCCUGAGGAUGGGCCUGCGUCCGAUUAGGUUGUUGGUGGGGUAAUGGCCCACCAAGCCUGCGAUCGGUACGGGCAGUGAGAGCUGAAGCCCGGAGUUGGGGACUGAGACAAGGCCCCAGGCCCUACGGGGCGCAGCAGGCGCGAAACCUCUGCAAUGCGGGAAACCGUGACAGGGGGAUCCCAAGUGCUCAUGCAUUGCAUGGGCUGUUCUUUGGUCUAAGUAACCAGAGGAGUAAGGGCUGGGCAAGACCGGUGC